GGUUAAGUUAGAAAGGGCGCACGGUGGAUGCCUUGACACUAGGAGUCGAUGAAGGACGGGACUAACGCCGAUAUGCUUCGGGGAGCUGUAAGUAAGCUUUGAUCCGAAGAUUUCCGAAUGGGGAAACCCACUAUACGUAAUGGUAUGGUAUCCUUACCUGAAUACAUAGGGUAUGGAAGACAGACCCAGGGAACUGAAACAUCUAAGUACCUGGAGGAAGAGAAAGCAAAUGCGAUUUCCUGAGUAGCGGCGAGCGAAACGGAAUCUAGCCCAAACCAAGAGGCUUGCCUCUUGGGGUUGUAGGACAUUCUAUACGGAGUUACAAAGGAGCGAGGGUAGACGAAGCGACGGAAAGGUCCGUCACAGAGGGUAAUAA
rnacentral:rRNA from 1 species